CGGUGUUCAACUGGCGUGCCCGCGGGACGUCCUGCCGGUGAGCUCAGCCCGCGAGGGCGGCUCAACUUGAAAUCCCAUCGCGGUGCUCUUCAUUGAGUGUCGAGGUGGGCCGGCACGAUUACUUUUGAACAAAUUAGAGUGCUUAAAGCAGGCUAAAAUUUUGCCUGAAUACUGUGUAUAUGGAAUAAUGGAAUAGGACCUCGGUUCUAUUUUGUUGGUUUUCGGAACCCCGAGGUAAUGAUUAAUAGGAACGGAUGGGGGCAUUCGUAUUGCGACGUUAGAGGUGAAAUUCUUGGAUCGUCGCAAGACGGACUAAAGCGAAAGCAUUUGCCAAAAACGCUUUCAUUGAUCAAGAACGAAAGUUAGAGGUUCGAAGGCGAUCAGAUACCGCCCUAGUUCUAACCAUAAACUAUGCCAGCUAGCGAUCCGCCGACGUCCCUCUGAUGACUCGGCGGGCAGCUUCCGGGAAACCAAAGCUUUUGGGUUCCGGGGGAAGUAUGGUUGCAAAGCUGAAACUUAAAGGAAUUGACGGAAGGGCACCACCAGGAGUGGAGCCUGCGGCUUAAUUUGACUCAACACGGGAAACCUCACCAGGCCCAGACACUGGAAGGAUUGGCAGAUUGAGAGCUCUUUCUUGAUUCAGUGGGUGGUGGUGCAUGGCCGUUCUUAGUCGGUGGAGCGAUUUGUCAGGUUAAUUCCGAUAACGGACGAGACUCUGACCUGAUAACUAGACGCACUUGCGGCAUCUCAAAGGUCCGCCGGCGGCUGGCUUUGCGCCCGUCGUCGCGCGCGAUUUUUACUGCCGGCGUACAAUAAAUUCUUCUUAGAGGGACAAGUGG
rnacentral:rRNA from 1 species